rnacentral:rRNA from 1 species
AGAGUUUGAUCAUGGCUCAGAUUGAACGCUGGCGGCGUGCCUAACACAUGCAAGUCGAGCGGUAACAGGUGUAGCAAUACAUGCUGACGAGCGGCGAACGGGUGAGUAAUGCUUUGGAAUCUUCCCAGUAGUGGGGAAUAACCAGUCGAAAGAUUGGCUAAUACCGCAUACGUCUGUAAAGGGAAAGCGGGGGCUCGUAAGACCUCGCGCUAUUGGAUGAGCCAAAGUCGGAUUAGCUAGUUGGUGGGGUAAUGGCCUACCAAGGCGACAAUCCGUAGCUGGUCUGAGAGGACGACCAGCCACACCGGAACUGAGACACGGUCCGGACUCCUACGGGAGGCAGCAGUGGGGAAUAUUGGACAAUGGGGGAAACCCUGAUCCAGCGACGCCGCGUGUGUGAAGAAGGCCUGCGGGUUGUAAAGCACUUUUAGUGGGGACAAAAAGCUACGGAUUAAUACUCUGUGGUCUUGAUUUAACCCAAAGAAAAAGCACCGGCUAACUCUGUGCCAGCAGCCGCGGUAAUACAGAGGGUGCGAGCGUUAAUCGGAAUUACUGGGCGUAAAGCGCGCGUAGACGGUUUUGUAAGUCAGAUGUGAAAUCCCUGGGCUCAACCUGGGAACUGCAUUUGAGACUGCAUGGCUAGAGUAUCGAAGAGGGAAGUGGAAUUUCCGGUGUAGCGGUGAAAUGCGUAGAUAUCGGAAGGAACACCAGUGGCGAAAGCGACUUCCUGGUCGAAUACUGACGUUCAUGUGCGAAAGCGUGGGGAGCAAACAGGAUUAGAUACCCCAGUAGUCC